CCUACGGGAGGCAGCAGUGGGGGAUAUUGCACAAUGGGGGGAACCCUGAUGCAGCGACGCCGCGUGGGUGAAGGAGCGUUUCGGCGCGUAAAGCCCUAUCGGCAGGGAAGAAGGAGGACGGUACCUGACUAAGAAGCCCCGGCUAACCACGCGCCAGCAGCCGCGGUAAUACGUAGGGGGACAGCGUUAUCCGGAUUUACUGGGGGUAAGGGGGGCGCGGACGGCAGGGCAAGCCAGGUGUGAAAGCCCGGGGCCCAACGCCGGGACUGAUCUUGGAACUGCGCGGCUGGAGUGCAGGAGGGGCAGGCGGAAGUCCUGGUGUAGCGGUGAAAUGCGUAGAUAUCAGGAGGAACACCGGUGGCGAAGGCGGCCUGCUGGACUGCGACUGACGUUGAGGCCCGAAAGCGUGGGGAGCAAACAGGAUUAGAUACCCCAGUAGUC
rnacentral:rRNA from 1 species